rnacentral:rRNA from 1 species
GUUCCCCGUUCGGGGGACAGGGUGACAGGUGGUGCAUGGUUGUCGUCAGCUCGUGUCGUGAGAUGUUGGGUUAAGUCCCGCAACGAGCGCAACCCUCGACCUUAGUUGCCAGCAUUCAGGUUGGGCACUCUAAGGUGACUGCCGGCUAAAAGUCGGAGGAAGGUGGGGAUGACGUCAAAUCAUCAUGCCCCUUAUGACCUGGGCUACACACGUGCUACAAUGGGCGGUACAAAGGGUCGCGAACCCGCGAGGGGAGCCAAUCCCAAAAUACAGUCUCAGUUCGGAUUGAAGUCUGCAACUCGACUUCAUGAAGUCGGAAUCGCUAGUAAUCGCGGAUCAGAACGCCGCGGUGAAUACGUUCUCGGGUUU